rnacentral:rRNA from 1 species
UACGUAGGGGCCAAGCGUUGUUCGGAUUUACUGGGCGUAAAGGGCGCGUAGGCGGCCCUUCAAGUCAGCUGUGAAAUCUCCGGGCUUAACUCGGAACGGUCAGCUGAUACUGUUGUGCUAGAGUGCAGAAGGGGCAAUCGGAAUUCUCGGUGUAGCGGUGAAAUGCGUAGAUAUCGAGAGGAACACCUGAGGUGAAGACGGGUUGCUGGGCUGACACUGACGCUGAUGCGCGAAAGCCAGGGUAGCAAACGGG